rnacentral:piRNA from 1 species
UGAUCAGUCAGCUGUGUUGAGAUGUGC